UGGUGGAGCAACCACUUGCAUGAGCAUGAGAGGUUGUUCCCCAGGCCAUCAGACUCCAAACAGUCAUGCAACUGGAGCCUUUGAGGAUGACCCCUUCUGCCGGGGACCCUUAGGUCAGCCUCUAGAGAAGCUUUGACUGCUGUUUCCCCAAAACAGCGCCCCCUGCCAUCAGGAAGCAGUGAGAAUGCUAAAUGAUAGCUGUGUGGAUUAGGUUCAGCUUUUCACAUUGGGAAAAAUGACUGAUGGGCCCUCAGAUGAGAGUGUUGCUACCAUGUCAACAUCACAAUAGUUUCCCUCCUCCAAAAAGCACCACAACAAGCAUGAGCCACAAGACACUGGGAACAAAAGGAAUCUUUGUUAUUUUAUUCAACAGAAAGCCAUGUUGGUUCACCACAUGUAUCGCAUCCUGAUAAUGUGAAGUGAAAAAGUAGAGCCUGGAAGCCUUUGUAAGAUGACUGUGCCAGAGGAGGAAGAUAAAUAUCUCGAUGCUAUGGAGGCCUGUCAGCUCUUUGAAGUAUCUGGGCAAUAUCAAGAUUUCUACUUCAGAUGAAAAAACAAAUAGUUAUUCAUUGACCCUGAUGCUGCCAAGAAAGAG
rnacentral:antisense_RNA from 1 species